CCCUUAGAUGUCCUGGGCCGCACGCGCGCUACAAUGACUUAUUCAGAAAGUUUACCUGGUUCGGAAGAAUUCAGGGUAAUCUUUGUAAUACAAGUCGUGUUAGGGAUCGAUCUUUGCAAUUAUAGAUCUUGAACGAGGAAUGCCUAGUAAGCGCAGUUCAUCAGGCUGUGCUGAUUACGUCCCUGCCCUUUGUACACACCGCCCGUCGCUCCUACCGAUUGAAUGAUCCGAUGAAUAUCAUGGAUUGAGGAUGCAAGUAGGUUCGCCUAUCUUCAUCUUCGAGAAGUGAAGUAAAUCUUAUCAUUUAGAGGAAGGAGAAGUCGUAACA
rnacentral:rRNA from 1 species